AGAAUCAACGCUGGCGGCGUGCCUAACACAUGCAAGUCGAACGCGAAAGGGGAGCAAUCCCUGAGUAGAGUGGUAAACGGGUGAGUAACACGUGGGUGACCUGCCUUCGAGUGGGGGAUAACGUUCCGAAAGGAACGCUAAUACCGCAUGACAUCCUGCUUUUGGACAAGCGGAGAUCAAAGCUGGGGAUUCGCAAGAACCUAGCGCUUGAGGAGGGGCCCGCGCCUGAUUAGCUAGUUGGUGAGGUAACGGCUCACCAAGGCUACGAUC
rnacentral:rRNA from 1 species